rnacentral:lncRNA from 1 species
GCUCGCCCCACAAGGAUGAACUGGACGGCCGCGACGUGCUGGGCUCUGCUGCUGGCCGCCACCUUCCUCUGCGACAUUGGCGCGGCCAAGGGCGGCCGUGGAGGGGCUCGCGGCAGCGCCCGGGGAGGGCUGCGCGGGGGCGCGCGCGGGACCCCACGGGUGCGCGUGAGGCCGGCGCCCCGCUACGCGGGCUCCUCCCUGCGCGUGGCUGCGGCCGGGGCGGCGGCGGGGGCGGCGGCCGGCCUGGCGGCGGGUUCCGGCUGGAGAAGGGCCCCGGGCCCCGGGGAGCGCGGCCUGGAGGACGACGAGGACGCGGCACCAGGCGGCAACCGGACGGGCCAAGGCGUCUACAGCUACCGGGCGUGGACUUCGGACGCGGGGCCCACCGGCGGCCCGCGCCUCUGCCUGCUGCUGGGCGGCGCCCUCGUUGCCCUGGGGCUGCUGCGGCCCUAGGCCUGGCCAGGCUCGGGGCCAGAUCCGGCCCCCAGCCCGCGCCCUCCCCGCAGGCCCCCCGCCCCGGAUCGGCCCCAGAGGCCGCCAGCGGCUGAGCGCCGCUUCCCACCGCUGCCGGCGGCCUCUGACCCACAGACGCUGCCUGGGGGAUUCCAGCCAGCCCGGGCAGGAGCAGCGGCCUCUCCUAUGGGUGCCCACUGACGCCCCCGGCCCACCGCCCGGCCCAGGUCCCUCCCCAGCCUCCCCAUCCUACCGAAGGACCAGGGCCCUUCAGUCCCAGGAUGCCCCGCCUACCGCCUGGAUGCCAGGGUCUCCCCCCAACCCCCUCCACCGUCAGAAAAGCAGGUGCCAUCCCGUGCUUCCGGUACCAUCCAGGCUGACGGCCCACCAUCUCUCCAGAGCUGCCCAAAGUGAUGUCCAAGACCAGGCUGCUCAGGCCAUUCUGGCCCCCCUGAGGACCCUGUGGCCUCCCCCACAGAAGCAGCCAGAAUGGACCAAAGGAUUUGAGGACUUGGGGGGAGAGGUUUCCCUCACAGGUUUUAGUGUGCCUACCACCUGUCCGGAAGAGGCCGUCUGCGGACUGGAGCCCAGGCGUGCCCAUCACUCUCUAGAGAAUCCCUGGAGCACCCCCUGCCACAGCAGCUGCCCCGGAGCCCGGCCAGCCCACCCUCAGGUCCAGAAGUGUGCCCCCUCACCAGGCAGACCCUCUCAAGGCCACUGCCAGGCUCCCGUUCUGGAAUCGUGCCUGCUGGUACUCAGGGAUGGAGAGAGCUCCGCAGGACAGCCAGCUGUGGCUCCGGCAGGUCUGCAGCUGCUCCAGGAAGGUGCCCGGAAGCCCAUUUCCCUCCAGCCUCUGGCCUGGCUUGCAGUUCGUGAGCUCAGCCCUGGAGGCCUUGGCUCUGUACGCCCUCUGCCCCAUAUCCCACGGCAGGACAACGCCCCAGGCCUGGAUCCUCUGGAUCGCCCCCUCCGUCGUCGGUGCUCACUGAAAGCCUCACCUGCCGCUGGGCUGCCUCCCAGAAUCUGCCCUCACCCCCCAGACUAUGGGGCCUUUGGACUCAGCUGA